ensembl:lncRNA
GGGCUUUCAAGUGAGAACUUUUGUCUCUAAGCACAUGUUUAUUUCUCCCAGUGGUACCUCGGCAUUAGUGUAUGUUGGGGCCUCAGCGAGCUGUUGGGUGAGGAUAAUUACCAUGUUCGAGAGCAGCGGGGAGGAGAAGGUACACACGCAGAAAGAGCUGGAGCAGCUCUAAGAUACUGGAUCGUGGCAGGGUCGGCAGUGCCAUGCAGAUUUGAGGAACGUGACGCCAGCUUCCUAGAGGAGGCAGUGCGGGUGCGAGCCCUGGAAGGAGGGCCGAGUUCAGAGGCAGAGAGAAGGGGAGACGGGGGGAGAGAUGAAAGUCUUCCUCCGGGGCCGCCCCCCACAUUGACCCAAGUUCUCUAAGAGCCUGGGCGCUGCUCUUACCACCGUCGGGAAGCCGCAAGAAAGAAACGGCGUUGCUUGAUAUGAAUAUGGGCAUGUGCCUUGUGUGUCCCAAGGGACUGGCAAAGACCUACGGUUGGAUGGUGUCCCUCAGAAUUACUCGAAGUUCUCUUUUUUAAUUUCAUUGUCGAAAUUGUGGGUUCACAGCAGCACCUGUCUAUACGUCAAAGUCUGAAUCAAGACUCAGAGGAAUUGGGCACUCUUGUGGCUGUCCCGUGUCAGCCAGCACUUCUCACUAGGGUGUGGGCCCCAAGCAGAACUUCUUUCCUACCCCCCCCCGCCUUUUUUUUUUUUUUUUUUUUUUUUUUGGGGCCAUACGCACGGCAUAUGGAGGUUCCCAGGCUAGGGGUCUAAUCGGAGCUGUAGCCACCGGCCUACACCAGAGCCACAGCAAUGUGGGAUCCAAGCCAUGUCUGCGACCUACACCACAGCUCAGGGCAACGCUGGAUCCUUAACCCACUGAGUGAGGCCAGGGAUCGAACCUGCAUCCUCACGGAUGCUAGUUAGACUCGUUUCUGCUGAGCCGCGACAGGAACUCCUAAAGUAUUUUAUAUUUAUUCUGAAGAUUUUAUACUUCCUCAAAUUCUGUUUUUUAUUCCACAAGUAUAACAGCUUUUUCAGUUCUCGUGAAAGGCAAAGUAAUACCCAGUCCAUUUCCAAAUUGCAAACCUGUUUCUCACUUAAAAAUCUGUUAACAUAUCUGAUUAAAAACCACAAAUAACACAACAUGUUCAAAACAAAUGCUGUAGUUGGAAUAGCAGUAAAAUAAAUUGCACCAGUUUUUAGGUAUUUACAGAAGACUAUUCAAUAGCUUUUGGCUGCAAGGAUGAUUAAAAAGUACAUUUAUUGAUUCCUAACCAAACCACAAUAUUAAUAAUCUCUGGAGGCAUAGUGGACUAUUGGCUUCUUGUCAGAAUGGCUUUGAGGAGAAUAUGGCCUUUGCGUGUAGUGCCAGCUUCUCAGCAGAGGUCAGAAUUAGGUCUGUGAAUCCAGUGCAUUUAUGAUUUAGCAGCAAAGUUUUCCCCCCGCCUUGAUGGACAUGCUCCAUUUGGGAGGGCAUGCAUCGUGUUUGGGGACCAGACAAACCCAGAGCAUCUCAACCUUACAAAACAUUUCUGCUCUUGCUCCGCUUUUUUAUGUGUGUCUUCCCAAGAUGCUUAGCCAUAGCAGCUUCCUUUCCUGGCCCGUGGUAUUGUGGGGCGAGACCAGAGGAUGGACGGUACUGUAUCCAUUUCUUCCGCUUGGACCAAGAAAGAUGGCGAUAUAACGAUGUGACGUUGGCCAUAGCUGCUUUCCUUUUGACACACGAGAAAUCACAGCUCUGCGCUGAGGCUUGGCCUCUGAGCUCAUACUUUCCAAGGAAGUGACGAUCAGCAUGGAGGUUUUCGCCUUUCUUGGCCGCCGGAGGAAUCCUAUUGCCUGUAGGUGUUCAUACUUUGCAAAGGGGGAAAAACAAAAUCUUCCCUUCCUCUUCCUUGUGUCCCAGCUCCCUGGAAGUGUCCUCAACUUGGUCCCUUAAGGGCCAAGUUUCUGGUAGCAUCUGCUUUCCCUGAAUUGGGCACCUUUGGGGUUUGGUCUUCUGACCCACCGCCUGGUGCUGUUUAUUGUCCGGGCGGCCCUGGGCCUCUCCGCCUCCCCCUGCCCUCGCUUCCUUUUCCCUUUCCUUCCUCUCUCCCUCCUCUCACCCGCUUCUUUCAUGCCUCCAUUCCUCCUCCAUAGCUUCUAGGUGCUAGCGGGUCCUCACGGAGGUACCCUCUGGGGAGCUUUUGCUCACAACCUUAAUCUUCUGCUUGUUUGUCCUGUGCGUGGUCUGCGGAGCGCGGGGAAGCUGUGUUCCGAGCCGAGGCCAUCUGCUCUGCAGACCUGCUCAAAGCCAGUCUCUGUAGGCUGUAUCAGGAUGGAGUCCAGCCCUGAAGUUGUUUUUUUCUCCCCGGCGGGGUGUGUGUGUGUGUGUGUGUGUGUGUGUGUGUGUGUGUGUGUGCGUGGUGUGUGCGUGUGCGUGUGUGCCCCUAGUAAGACACUGUUCCGGGAGUCCGAAUGGGCCCUCCUCACUGAAACCUGCCUCAGGAGUUCCCACUGUGGUGCAACGGGAUCAGCAGUGUAUUGGGAGCAUUGGGCCGAAAGUUCAAUCCCUGGCCUGGCACAGUGGGUCAAGGAUCCGGCAUUGCCACAAGCUCUGGCGUAGGUCGCAGCCGUGGCUUGGAUCUGAUCCCUGGCCCAGGAUGUCCAUACUCCUUGCAGCCAAAAAAGAAAAAAAACCCAAAACCCUGCCUCUCAGUUGCCACCUGUACUUCGGCUGUGGUUCUGGGUUUCUUGGACUGACUGAUCUAGGAUGUUGUCGUUUUCAUGACCCAGAGAUCUUCUAAUAUAGCGGUUUUCACGCUUUUUUUUUUUUGGCUUUAUAUUCUUAUAACAGGAAUUUUAAAAAAAUCCUCUCUGAAAUCUUAAUGCAAAGUCCAGUAUUUCCUCCAGAUCAGAUUGGAGCAUCUGUGCCUGAAAUGGGGGUGGGAAAUUCAGUGCUUGCCUCCCCCGCCCCCCCGCUGCCUCGGGGACCCCCAAGGGACUGCACAGAACAGGGCUGUGCUUCUUUGCAGCAGAGUUUGAUAUCCCCUGGGUCCGUCCCGUUCCCUUGCAGGGCAUAGUGAGAUCCAGAGAUGGGGCACGACAGAGGGCCCGGUGCAGAAAGGCUCAUGGUGCAGACACACUUCGCCGCAGAAGGUCGCAGGACUGUGCCACGGGGAGCCCCGUCCUGGGUCCGCAAUGAACCAAAAGGGCGACCCUCAAUGCUGCGUCUGUGUCCGGACCCUCACAGCCGUCUGGCUGGUCUUGGGGCUUAGGAGGUGGAAACAUGGUUCUUUUGGAGACAGAGGCAUCCUCUGCACCACACUCUGCAACCAAAAGCCCCAAACAGAGCGGGGCGCUGUUUGGCAGGUGGCCGUGCCUUUGGUGGAGCUUAGUAGAGUAAGGCGUGUUCUUAGCUUAUUAUAAGACUGUGGUUUCCGGAGUUCCCGUUGUGGCUCAGCAGAAGCGAAUCUGACUAGCAUCCAUGAGGACGAGGGUUCGAUCCCUGCCCUCGCUCAGUGGGUUAAGGAUCCAGCGUUGCCGUGAGCUGUGGUGUAGGUCGCAGAUGCGGCUGGGAUCUGGCUUUGCUGUGGCUGUGCUGUAGGCCGGCAGCUGUAGCUCCGAUUGGA